rnacentral:rRNA from 1 species
GACGAAGGAUGCAAGCGUUAUCCGGAUUCAUUGGGUUUAAAGGGAGCGUAGGCGGUCUUGUAAGUCAGUGGUGAAAUCUCGCAGCUUAACUGCGAAACUGCCAUUGAUACUGCUUGACUAGAGUAUAGAUGCUGUGGGCGGAAUAUGACAUGUAGUGGUGAAAUACAUAGAGAUGUCAUAGAACACCGAUUGCGAAGGCAGCUCACAAAGCUAUAACUGACGCUGAGGCUCGAAAGUGUGGGGAUCAAACAGG